rnacentral:rRNA from 1 species
CCUACGGGAGGCGGCAGUGGGGAAUAUUGGACAAUGGGCGAAAGCCUGAUCCAGCAAUGCCGCGUGAGUGAUGAAGGCCUUAGGGUUGUAAAGCUCUUUUACCCGAGAUGAUAAUGACAGUAUCGGGAGAAUAAGCUCCGGCUAACUCCGUGCCAGCAGCCGCGGUAAUACGGAGGGAGCUAGCGUUGUUCGGAAUUACUGGGCGUAAAGCGCACGUAGGCGGCGAUCUAAGUCAGAGGUGAAAGCCCGGGGCUCAACCCCGGAAUUGCCUUUGAGACUGGAUUGCUUGAAUCCAGGAGAGGUGAGUGGAAUUCCGAGUGUAGAGGUGAAAUUCGUAGAUAUUCGGAAGAACACCAGUGGCGAAGGCGGCUCACUGGACUGGUAUUGACGCUGAGGUGCGAAAGCGUGAGGAGCAAACAGGAUUAGAUACCCUGGUAGUCCACGCCGUAAACGAUGAUAACUAGCUGUCUGGGUGCANGNCUAGUGGNGCAGCUACGCAUUAAGUUAGUCGCCGUGGGUAGGUACGGUCGCGAGUAAGUUAAACUUAAAUUAGUUAAGUUAGUUACGGCGUGAGACGUUGCCGACGGACGACGACGAGGGGAGGUUAGG